rnacentral:rRNA from 1 species
CACCAGACUCCUACGGGAGGCAGCAGUGGGGGAUAUUGCACAAUGGGGGAAACCCUGAUGCAGCGACGCCGCGUGGGUGAAGGAGUAUUUCGGUAUGUAAAGCCCUAUCGGCAGGGAAGAAGCAAGACGGUACCUGACUAAGAAGCCCCGGCUAACUACGUGCCAGCAGCCGCGGUAAUACGUAGGGGGCAAGCGUUAUCCGGAUUUACUGGGUGUAAAGGGAGCGUAGACGGCAGUGCAAGUCUGAAGUGAAAGGCGGGGGCCCAACCCCCGGACUGCUUUGGAAACUGUGCUGCUGGAGUGCAGAAGAGGCAAGUGGAAUUCCUAGUGUAGCGGUGAAAUGCGUAGAUAUUAGGAGGAACACCAGUGGCGAAGGCGGCUUGCUGGACUGUAACUGACGUUGAGGCUCGAAAGCGUGGGGAGCAAACAGGAUUAGAUACCCCCGUA